GUGGGGAAUAUUGGACAAUGGGCGAAAGCCUGAUCCAGCCAUGCCGCGUGUGUGAAGAAGGUCUUCGGAUUGUAAAGCACUUUAAGUUGGGAGGAAGGGUAGUAACCUAAUACGUUGCUACUUUGACGUUACCGACAGAAUAAGCACCGGCUAACUUCGUGCCAGCAGCCGCGGUAAUACGAAGGGUGCAAGCGUUAAUCGGAAUUACUGGGCGUAAAGUGCGCGUAGGUGGUUUUGUAAGUUGGAGGUGAAAUCACCGGGCUCAACCUGGGAACUGCCUCAAAAACUGCAUGACUAGAGUACGUUAGAGGGUAGUGGAAUUUCCUGUGUAGCGGUGAAAUGCGUAGAUAUAGGAAGGAACACCAGUGGCGAAGGCGACUACCUGGACUGAUACUGACACUGAGGUGCGAAAGCGUGGGGAGCAAACAGGAUUAGAAACCCGGGUAGUCC
rnacentral:rRNA from 1 species